rnacentral:rRNA from 1 species
UACGUAGGGUGCAAGCGUUAAUCGGAAUUAUUGGGCGUAAAGAGCUCGUAGGCGGUCUGUCGCGUCGGCUGUGAAAACUCGGGGCUCAACUCCGAGCUUGCAGUCGAUACGGGCAGGCUAGAGUUCGGCAGGGGAGACUGGAAUUCCUGGUGUAGCGGUGAAAUGCUUAGAUAUCGAUCAAGAACACCGAUAGUGUAGACAGCUUACUAGGCUGAAACUGACGCUGAGGCACGAAAGUGUGGGGAUCAAACAGG